CCUACGGGAGGCAGCAGUGAGGAAUAUUGGUCAAUGGACGGAAGUCUGAACCAGCCAUGCCGCGUGCAGGAAGACGGCUCUAUGAGUUGUAAACUGCUUUUGUACAAGGGUAAACCUGAAUACGUGUAUUCAGCUGAACGUACUGUACGAAUCAGGAUCGGCUAACUCCGUGCCAGCAGCCGCGGUAAUACGGAGGAUCCAAGCGUUAUCCGGAUUUAUUGGGUUUAAAGGGUGCGUAGGCGGAUUGAUAAGUUAGAGGUGAAAUGUCCGGGCUUAACUCGGGAACUGCCUCUAAUACUGUUUAUCUAGAGAGUAGGUGCGGUAGGCGGAAUGUAUGGUGUAGCGGUGAAAUGCUUAGAUAUCAUACAGAACACCGAUUGCGAAGGCAGCCUACCAAUCUAUAUCUGACGUUGAGGCACGAAAGCGUGGGGAGCAAACAGGAUUAGAUACCCCUGUAGUC
rnacentral:rRNA from 1 species